AUCAUUUUUUUUGUGGAUAUUGGAAAGUCAUCUUCAUCUUCACUUUCCUCCCAUACCCACGUGAAACCCUCACUUUUAUUCUCUCUUAUCAUUAUUUUCCCUUCUUGGUUCCACAUCCUCACCCAUUCUUGAUGACCUCUUUUCUUCCUCCAAGGCUCACAUGUCUGGUACUUUCUUGAAUUCAUCUUCAGUGCUCAAAUCUUCGCGCACUCUAGGCACUUGAACACGAUUUGAGGAGAUGGAACCAUAUCUUUUGUCACUCUUUCUCGAAACAUCAUAGUUGUCAUGUCCCCGUUUCUUGUCCUCUGCCAUCCUCAUUUCCUCUUCAUAAAAGCUUCUUCUUCUCCAUUCUCUUCAGCCUCACGUCCAGCUUCAUCUUUUGGGGCCUUCUUUGAGUUACUCUUAUUGUUGUUGGGUUUGUUGCCAUACUCUUCUCUUUCUUCAGAUGACAAGUCCUAUUCGCCUUCUUCAAGUCCACCAUCUUCAUCAUCUCCCUCGGCAUCAGUUGGCUUAGAUUGACACAGAGUGUGAGGAUCUUCUUUUAUACCAGUUCCAUUGUUCGGUAUAAACACAAGGGGAUCCAGAGUUUAGAGCAGAGCUGAGAGCAGCAAAGCGGCACCGGCGGGGGGUGUCUCGAGGAUGUUAGCCUGCUCAAGUUCGAGGUCGGUGAGCUGCUGGUCGUGGUCCAUCUCGAUGAUGAGGGGAGGGGAACGACGAGGAUGAGGAAGUUGGUGCUAAAGAUCCAGAGGGCCUUGUCGGUGCUCUUCACAGGGUUAGUGACGAUGAAUGACGUGUCGGAGGUAUACUGCUUGCUGAGGGUGACAAUUUUGGAUUAGGAGAUCUUGGCCAGGAUUGUUACAAGCUAUGGUUCAGCUGCCUCGAAAGACAUGAUCCAGAAUUGCAUGGCACAAGAUCUUUCCUGGAAGGAACCUUCGAAACAAUGGGAAAAGAUGUUGUUGAGCCUCGAAAUAGCUGGCAGCGAACCUGGCUUUGAAAGGGAAGAGAUUGCUCCUCUUGCCAUGGAAAAUGUUCCUUGAGCAUUAGUAUCCAUUAGUGCUGUAACUAUAAAUUGGUUGCGAGUAAGAGAGUGAUGUGUGAUGGUGCAAAUAUCUCAGGUUAUAUAUCUAAAAUGGAUCAUGAUUGAAGGUGAACGAUGUUUGAGAUGUGAAGUAAUGAAUCUGAUGCGUCCUUGUUGCGAUCAUGGGAGCUGAAGAACAAGAUUUUCGGAUCCUGCUUGUUUUCAUAUAGGAGUGUGUUGAUAAAUAAUGUAAUAAUCAUAUGAGGUGCUCGGAUCCACUCGGCUCCAGCUUAUGUUUUAAUGCUUUUUUUUUGUAGGAUUUUGACAACAAUUUGAGAGUCGUGGUUGAUCUAGCCAUUCGACUGCUU